rnacentral:rRNA from 1 species
CCAAUAGCGUAUAUUAAAGUUGUUGCAGUUAAAAAGCCCGUAGUUGAAUUUCGGGGUCAGCAGGUUGGUCGUGCCACUGGUAUGCACUGGCCUCGCUGAUUCCUCCCUCUUGUAGAACCGUAAUGCCAUUAAGUUGGUGUUGCGGGGAAACAGGACUGUUACUUUGAAAAAAUUAGAGUGUUUAAAGCAGGCUAACGCUUGAAUACAUUAGCAUGGAAUAAUGAAAUAGGACGAUCGAUCCUAUUUUGUUGGUUUCUAGGGUUGACGUAAUGAUUAAUAGGGAUAGGUGGGGGCAUUAGUAUUCAAUUGUAAGAGGUGAAAUUCUUGGAUUUAUUGAAGACUAACUACUGCGAAAGCAUUUGCCAAGGAUGUUUUCAUUAAUCAAGAACGAAAGUUAGGGGAUCGAAGACGAUCAGAUACCGUCGUAGUCUUAACCAUAAACUAUGCCGACUAGGGAUCGGAUGAUGUUAAUUUUUUAAUGACUCAUUCGGCGCCCUACG